GACAAAAAAUAUUGUACCUAAUUAUAUAUACAUCUGUACCGUUUAACCCAACAUUAUGACUAGACCCGUCUCAAGAUAGUGUUGCGUUGCUCAUAAACGUUCCGCUUUGAAUUUGAGCUUCCUUAUAUAUUUCUUGCAAAGAAUCAUCAAACGUCAGUAUUUUCAGCUUUUCCAUUGAUUGAAACGCGUUUAUCACUAACAUGUGUAAAGCAAGCGCAAUAGAGCUUUCGGCGGCUGAUGACGAUGAUAUCGCAUGCAAAGUUUUAACAAAGAACGAGUAAAAUAUCUUUUUUGUUUUAAAAGGGAUUUGAAAGUCUGAGGAAAUUGACUGAUAUUUUUCUACAAUAGCUUGAAGAUCAUCGACAAAACCUGGGUCAGUCAAAACCAUUGACGUUAUCCUAGGAUCAUUUUUUUUUAAACCAAAAAUACCUUUACCAGAGAUACCAGAAUCAUUUGAAGGAUAAGCACCCCUUAAUUUUAUAAAUAUUUCCAAAAAACACCAACGAUGCAAUAAAACUCCAUAAAUUUCUCCACUCUCAUUUUUGAAAUGCUCAAAAUGCUCAUUACAAAUACCAAUUAUAUUUUCUUGGUACAUGUAUUGAACCACGGGAACAUCAAAGCACUCAAAUAAAGCAUCUAAAACCGAGACAAAAAAUCCCACGUAAUUUUGAAGACUCAAGUUUUUUCUUGAGUUCAGAAUGAUUUGUAAAAGUACAUUAGCAAAUUUUUGAGUCUGCUGUUCCUUAGAUGAUAUAUUGCCAAUAUCAUCAGAUAUAUUAAGGUCGGAAUCGUUCUUUCUAACUUCUGAAGAACUAGAGCCCAAAAAUUCUUCCAUACUAACCAUAGGCAACUGAAUUGUAUCACUGGACAAUGAACCUAUAGUAUCCUCCGAAACUCCAUUCGUUAUAUUUUCGGUUUUCGAAGAUAUAUUUCCCGUGAGGAUCUGCGAACGAGCAAAAAGUUUUGUCAUAUAGGACAACUCUAAGCGAAAGUAAGCAGCCCAUAUAACAGGAUUUUCUUGGUUUAGACGAAGAGCACGGUUCAUUAAUGCACGAGCUGCGGAAACAUUAGCGUUGAUGCUAAACUCAUGAUCACACGCUACUACCCAAAGCUCAGCGUUAUUCGGAUGUUUCUGAAGAGCUGCAACACAUAUCUUUCCCACAAUAUUCACAGCUUUGAUCUUUUGAGCGUAGUGAAUGUAGUCUAACCAUAAGGUAACGUCCCCAAAAAAUUUAUUCGUAGCUCUCAAAAACAGGAAUAAGACCUUACGAGGGCCAGCAUAAUCGCUAAUCGUUAUUUUCCCUGUAAUAUUGAGCCUUUUAUGUCUUUUAGCACGCAAAGUCUCCAGAUUUAUCUCAUAUUGGAUAUAGCUGAGGAAAUCGUUUAACUUAACCUGCCGACGGGCUAAUUUUUCUUCA